rnacentral:rRNA from 1 species
UUAAGCGACUAAGCGUACACGGUGGAUGCCCUGGCAGUCAGAGGCGAUGAAGGACGUGCUAAUCUGCGAAAAGCGCCGGCGAGGUGAUAUGAACCUUUGACCCGGCGAUGUCCGAAUGGGGAAACCCAGUGCAAUCCGUUGCACUAUCGUUAACUGAAUACAUAGGUUAACGAGGCGAACCGGGGGAACUGAAACAUCUAAGUACCCCGAGGAAAAGAAAUCAACCGAGAUUCCCCCAGUAGCGGCGAGCGAACGGGGAGCAGCCCGGAGUCUGAAUCAGCUUGUGUGUUAGUGGAACGGUCUGGAAAGUCCGACGGUACAGGGUGAUAGUCCCGUACACGAAAGCACACUUGCUGUGAACUCGAAGAGUAGGGCGGGACACGUGGUAUCCUGUCUGAAUAUGGGGGGACCAUCCUCCAAGGCUAAAUACUCCUGACUGACCGAUAGUGAACCAGUACCGUGAGGGAAAGGCGAAAAGAACCCCGGCGAGGGGAGUGAAAAAGAACCUGAAACCGUGUACGUACAAGCAGUGGGAGCCUCUUUAUGGGGUGACUGCGUACCUUUUGUAUAAUGGGUCAGCGACUUAUAUUCUGUAGCAAGGUUAACCGUAUAGGGGAGCCGAAGGGAAACCGAGUCUUAACUGGGCGUUAAGUUGCAGGGUAUAGACCCGAAACCCGGUGAUCUAGCCAUGGGCAGGUUGAAGGUUGGGUAACACUAACUGGAGGACCGAACCGACUAAUGUUGAAAAAUUAGCGGAUGACCUGUGGCUGGGGGUGAAAGGCCAAUCAAACCGGGAGAUAGCUGGUUCUCCCCGAAAGCUAUUUAGGUAGCGCCUCGUGAACUCAUCUUCGGGGGUAGAGCACUGUUUCGGCUAGGGGGCCAUCCCGGCUUACCAACCCGAUGCAAACUACGAAUACCGAAGAAUGUUAUCACGGGAGACACACGGCGGGUGCUAACGUCCGUCGUGAAGAGGGAAACAACCCAGACCGCCAGCUAAGGUCCCAAAGUCAUGGUUAAGUGGGAAACGAUGUGGGAAGGCACAGACAGCCAGGAUGUUGGCUUAGAAGCAGCCAUCAUUUAAAGAAAGCGUAAUAGCUCACUGGUCGAGUCGGCCUGCGCGGAAGAUGUAACGGGGCUAAACCAUGCACCGAAGCUGCGGCAGCGACGCUUAUGCGUUGUUGGGUAGGGGAGCGUUCUGUAAGCCGUUGAAGGUGNNUUAACGCUGAGGUGUGAUGACGAGGCACUACGGUGCUGAAGUGAUAAAUGCCCUGCUUCCAGGAAAAGCCUCUAAGCAUCAGGUAACACGAAAUCGUACCCCAAACCGACACAGGUGGUCAGGUAGAGAAUACCAAGGCGCUUGAGAGAACUCGGGUGAAGGAACUAGGCAAAAUGGUGCCGUAACUUCGGGAGAAGGCACGCUGAUAUGUAGGUGAAGUCCCUGCGGACGGAGCUGAAAUCAGUCGAAGAUACCAGCUGGCUGCAACUGUUUAUUAAAAACACAGCACUGUGCAAACACGAAAGUGGACGUAUACGGUGUGACGCCUGCCCGGUGCCGGAAGGUUAAUUGAUGGGGUUAGCGGCAACGCGAAGCUCUUGAUCGAAGCCCCGGUAAACGGCGGCCGUAACUAUAACGGUCCUAAGGUAGCGAAAUUCCUUGUCGGGUAAGUUCCGACCUGCACGAAUGGCGUAAUGAUGGCCAGGCUGUCUCCACCCGAGACUCAGUGAAAUUGAACUCGCUGUGAAGAUGCAGUGUACCCGCGGCAAGACGGAAAGACCCCGUGAACCUUUACUAUAGCUUGACACUGAACACUGGUCCUUGAUGUGUAGGAUAGGUGGGAGGCUUUGAAGCGUGGACGCCAGUCUGCGUGGAGCCAACCUUGAAAUACCACCCUUUAAUGGCUGGUGUUCUAACGUAGACCCGUAAUCCGGGUUGCGGACAGUGUCUGGUGGGUAGUUUGACUGGGGCGGUCUCCUCCCAAAGAGUAACGGAGGAGCACGAAGGUUGGCUAAUCCUGGUCGGACAUCAGGAGGUUAGUGCAAUGGCAUAAGCCAGCUUGACUGCGAGCGUGACGGCGCGAGCAGGUGCGAAAGCAGGUCAUAGUGAUCCGGUGGUUCUGAAUGGAAGGGCCAUCGCUCAACGGAUAAAAGGUACUCCGGGGAUAACAGGCUGAUACCGCCCAAGAGUUCAUAUCGACGGCGGUGUUUGGCACCUCGAUGUCGGCUCAUCACAUCCUGGGGCUGAAGUAGGUCCCAAGGGUAUGGCUGUUCGCCAUUUAAAGUGGUACGCGAGCUGGGUUUAGAACGUCGUGAGACAGUUCGGUCCCUAUCUGCCGUGGGCGCUGGAGAAUUGAGGGGGGCUGCUCCUAGUACGAGAGGACCGGAGUGGACGCAUCACUGGUGUUCGGGUUGUCAUGCCAAUGGCACUGCCCGGUAGCUAAAUGCGGAAGAGAUAAGUGCUGAAAGCAUCUAAGCACGAAACUUGCCCCGAGAUGAGUUCUCCCUGAGACUUUAAGUCUCCUGAAGGAACGUUGAAGACGACGACGUUGAUAGGUCGGGUGUGUAAGCGCAGCGAUGCGUUGAGCUAACCGAUACUAAUGAACCGUGAGGCUUAACCUU